rnacentral:rRNA from 1 species
UACAGAGGUCUCAAGCGUUGUUCGGAUUCAUUGGGCGUAAAGGGCGCGUAGGCGGCGGGGUCAGUCGGGUGUGAAAUCUUGGGGCUUAACCCCGAAACGGCACUCGAAACUGCCCGGCUGGAGGGCCGGAGAGGAGAUCGGAAUUUACGGUGUAGCAGUGAAAUGCGUAGAUAUCGUAAGGAAGACCAGUGGCGAAGGCGGAUCUCUGGACAGUUACUGACACUGAGGCACGAAGGCCAGGGGAGCAAACGGG